AGUCCUUCUCACAAAAACUAGUCAAACAAAAUCCCUCACUACAUACUCUUUCACGAUCUGAUUGAUCUCUUAAUUGAUUUCUCAAACUUCUAUAUCUUUUUUAUUUCCUUAAUUUCUCUCAUCUUCCAAUUGAUUUCUCAAACUUCCAAUUGAUUUCCUAAAAUUAAUGGCAGCCCUAGGCAGAUGACAAUGCUUCUCAACAAUUUUGUUCUUCAACGAUCAAUGGGACUUUUCAGCAAUUUUGUUCUCUGACGAUUAGUGGAACAUUUUGGAGAGUUCAUUCUCUAGUAUUAUUUUCAGCAAGUACUAAUCCUAAACAUGAAUGCAUCUUCAUAUUCCAUUUUCCUUCUCUCUCUACGCUCUAAGCUCUACCAUCACGAUCUCUCUCUCUCUUGCAAUCUCAGCCAAGAAGUCGCUGCCGGCGCCGUUUCCCGCUAAGUCCAGAUAAUUUUAUGAUUUGUUUUCUUUUCUCAGGCUGUGUUUUUUGUUUCUUAUCCAUGGAUUUAUGCUACUGUGCGGUGGAUUGGGAAAAAUAAUAGGCUCUUGCCAAUAGAGAACAAGCCAACAAAAAAUCGGACUUCUUUGUUCCGUAUAAUAUUCUACCACUUGAUCAUGGAGGUAUUCAGCAAGCAAUAAUACAAAUAAAUGAGGUUUGGUGCUGUUUGGAUGAUCCAAUUUUUCUUUCUUUAUUAGUUUUUUCAAUUCUAAUUAAAGACUCAAGUUAGAGUUUAUGUACACAUUGUUGGAACAGCACCAUGGUGUUAGAAUAUUUAAGCAUUAUGAUAAACUUGCCUAAAUGACACAAAUAAAGGCUGCAAUUGCAAUUGUUCGCAAUGUCCAUGGUUUACCUUCAGCCCAAGACUUUCAGAGGCAUGGAGAAUUCAUUGACUUGUGUGAUUUUCUUCAGUAUUGCUUUGGAUUCCAGGAAGGCAAUCUUGCCAACCAGAGGGAACAUCUGAUUCUUCUCCUUGCCAAUAUUCACAUUCGGAAAGCUAAUAAGCAGUCUAUCUUGAAGGCUGCCUUACGUAAAACAAGAGGCUCAGCAAUAUAAACUUUUGUACAUUGGGCUUUACCUUCUUAUUUGGGGAGAGGCUGCAAACUUGCAGUUCAUGCCAGAGUGUUUAUGUUAUAUUUUUCACCAUAUGGCUUCUGAAUUGCAUGGUAUGUUAACUAGAGUUUAUUAAUCCCAAAAUAUGGGAGAAAGUCAUGCCAGCAUAUGGUGGACCAGAGUCUUUCCUUAACAACGUAGUUGCCCCCAUAUACACAGUUAUACAAGAGGAAGCCAUGAAAAGUAAAAAUGGGACAACUGACCAUUCAAUUUGGAGAAACUAUGACGAUCUCAAUGAGUAUUUUUGGUCUCCUUAUUGUUUCCAAAUAGGAUGGUUGAUGCGUCUGGUCCACAAUUUCUUCUGUACUAAAUUACCCAGAGAUAAGGAGGCUUUAGAAUCAAGUAAAGCUAAAGAGAUAAGAGGAAUAAGACGAAGAAGAGGACGAAGAAGAGGACGAGGACGAAGAAUUUGGGGUUUUGAGUUUGAGUGAGAAGCUUCACUCUGUGACCUCACAGUUUGAUCAGCUGAGAGCCAUAUGCUUCCAAGAAGCCAUUAGUAGAGUAACACCAAGAAGAAAAUAUAAGCCUAUUACCAAACCAAGUUCAGAAAAUUCAUCUCAAUUAAACAGUUUUGAGCCUAGAGAAGCUGAUCAAUUUCAACCAAGCCUCUAAAAGUCAAGCAAUAGCUCUUAGAUGAUGAAACAAGUGCUCUUCAGGUUAUUAUUGUGAUUGCUCACCAGUGGUGUAACUACCCAAAUUUGCUAAUAGGGCUUAGGGCCUUGAUUAGCGUGCCUGGAGGGCAAUAAAUGAAUUAAUAUGCUAAUAUGUGAAUUUAUGUGAACAUAUGAUAAAGAUGCAUGUUUAGUUGAGUUAAAUGUGCAUGUGGGCCCCAUUUGGAUAGUAGGGGUAUAACUGUGACAAAUGCAAUAUGUAUGUGAUUUAUCUGUGUAGCACGGCUCGAGACAGUCCUGGGGAGCGGUUAGCUAGAAAGUCACAACGGGGUGGAGAAUCCGACUCAGGGCGAGUCGAGGGGUAAUUUGGGUAUUAGUUAUUAUAUUGGGUUAUCGGGGAAUGGAAAUAAAUAUUUGGAGAUAUAUUUGAGGUUAGAAUGUCUAGGAGGGAAUACUGGGGAAAUUUACCAUUUUGCCCUCGGGGACGUUUUGGUACCCCGAGCCUUGAGGUAACCUUAAAGCUUAAGUUAAAUAAAACAAAGUUUAGGAAGCUAGUGGAGACUUAGAAACCGACAUUCACCUUUCCUUCCCAGCUGAAGAUAGUUUCUCAUCUCUCUCUCUUUCACUCUCUAAGACAAACUCAAGGGAAUUAAGCUUUGGGUGGCCAUUAGCCAAGAACUAAGGAUUGAAGCUGAGCUUGGGAUUUAGAGAAUCUGCAUAGAAGUAUAGUUCAUCAAGAUAAGUUCUUAAUAUGUUGAUUUGAGCAAAUUUUGUAGCUGGUUUAAGGUUGUAUAUUGAAGUUGCAUGUGGGCUAAGUUUGAAUUGGGAUUUGAUUGUUAGGCUGAGUUUUGGGGGCUGGCUUUUGAUAGGUUUCGAUGUUAAAACUGGGCUAGAACCUUUGUGAUGAUUAUCUAGGAUUGCUAGUUUGGUUUUGGGUGAAUUGGUUUGAAGAAAAUGCAGGAACAGGAUGAAGAUUUCUGGGUUGGAGGCUAGGACCGCGGCCCUAGGAGGGGCAUGCCGCGGCCCGUGUGCGCGCGCGGCCAUGGGAGGCCAAGAAGCUUGAGGCGCGCCGCGGCACUUGGUGAUGCGCGCCGCGGCCCGUGUGUGUUACAGGGAAGUGCUAGCCUUUGUUUCGAGGCUAGCCGUGACGCUUGUGGGUAAGGCCGCAGCUCUUAGUGUCAGUUUGAGUUUUUAAGUGUGUUUAGGUUUGGGAACUCAGUGGUUAAGGCUCGGGAUGGAUUUUAUCACCCAGAUUGAUAGAAUUCAAGGUCCCGGAGGUUAGAGUUAUGGCUCGAAGUUAUUUAAUGGGUUAGAACUUGAUGGAUGAAUAUUGUUAAUGUGUUGUUACUAGGGUUUCGGCAAGGCUCAAGUUAGAGGACUGUGCUCGGGGUAUCGGUGCUCGGAGAGCUCGGGACGCAGGUAAGAAAACCCUUGUUCCCAUAGAGCUUGUAUGCAGGGCUGAGAGCAAUAUGUUUGAAUUGCAUGGCGUAGCCCUUUGAUUGAAUUUGUUAGUGUUCAGUAUAUGUUUAUUAUGCUAUGAGUGCAAUUAUGUGAAUGAUCGGCGAGAGCCGGGAACGGUAAAGGGUCGGGAACGGUGUUGGGCACGUUGAGUGCAAGGCCGAGUACGGCAUGGGGCUGGGAGCAGCGUUGAGCACGUGGAGUGUGAUUUGCCAGGGCGAGACCCUAAAGGAUACCUGGGAUAUCCUCACGGUGUAGACCGCGAACCCAGGGCCUGGUAAAGCGCCUGGGACGACUUGUCCAUAUGUGUUUAGCCUAUUGAUGGCUUGUUUAUAUGCUUGGUGUAUGUUUUGCAUAUGUUAUCUGUUUGUGGGUUUUCUUGCUGGGCUUCGGCUCACAGAUGAUCUGUGGUGCAGGUAAGGGCAAUGAGAAAGUCAACCAACCUUGAGUGUAGCAAGCAUGAGGUGACGUGUACAUGUUUGGUCUACCUGGCUGCCAUAGGCAGUGGAUUUUGGGAGAUGAAUGUAAUAAAACCUAGAUUUUUUCGUUUAGCUGACUUGGUUGUAUUUAUAUGUUGUAAAUAUUUUGAAACAGUAUUUUGGGAUCCCAAGUGUUAAACUUUUAUGAUUUCCAAUGGAAUAGAGUUAUUUCCAAGGUUUUUACUCUGAUUAUGGCUUAAUUACACUUUUGCUUUAAAAACCUCGAUUAGCGAGUGAUUGCAUGUUUUAAACUCACUUAGUAACGGUUCUAAGGUAGUAGGGCGUUACAACUUGUGUAUCUUUCUAUGUUUCAUCAUGUUUGUCCUGUAUUGUUCAAUCUCCGUCUUUAGUGGUUUCUUUAAAA